GUUUGCGUGUCCGAGAGGUUUAUGGUGCUUCCCUGCUAAGGAAGUGUGCCUUAUGGCACCGAUGGUUCGAAUCCAUCCGCAAACG
rnacentral:tRNA from 1 species